GACCAAGGAGUUUAUCGUGUACGCAAGUCAUUGGGUGAAUAAAACCCAAAGGCGAAAUGAAAGUAAAGAGUUGAGUUUAUAAAAUUUUAGAAUUUAUUCUUAAUUUUAUUUUUCUCUCUUUAGGGAAGAUGAAAAUUUAAUAUAUUAAUUUUCUUCUUUUCGGAGAUGUAAAGUUAUUUAUUAAAAUUUUUCGCAUUCCCAGGGCGCUUGUUUCACGCUUUGCGUGUCGAUGCGCACCCAGAGCGUACACGCUGAUACCCGAAAGAUGGUGAACUAUGCCUGGCCAGGACGAAGCCAGGGGAAACCCUGGUGGAGGUCCGCAGCGAUUCUGACGUGCAAAUCGAUCGUCGGAGCUGGGUAUAGGGGCGAAAGACCAAUCGAACCAUCUAGUAGCUGGUUCCCUCUGAAGUUUCCCUCAGGAUAGCUUGCGCUCGGUUGAGUCUCAUCCGGUAGAGCGAAUGAUUAGAGGCAUUGGGGUCGAAACGACCUCAACCUAUUCUCAAACUCCAAAUAGAUGAGACCCCCGGCUU
rnacentral:rRNA from 1 species